rnacentral:lncRNA from 1 species
CCUAACAACUUAUUCAUUUUCACUAUGAUAGGAACUUUAUCUGUUUCAAUGACUUGGUCAGGAGCUGGCUGGUUUGGGCCUUUUGUACGCAUUGAUCAAUCGAACCCACAAUGUCAGGCAUGUGAGGUGAAGGAUUGAUAAAGGGCUCCUCCACAUGCAAUAAUACAUGCCGCUCAACAGGCAGAGGUAUGUCAAAUAGCCUAUAGGU